GUACUCAUUUUGGCAGCACAUAUCCUAAAAUUGAAACAAUACAGAGAAGAUUAGCAUGGCCCCUGCACAAGGAUGACACAAAUUGGUGAAGCACUCCAUAUUAAA
ensembl:snRNA U6 U6 spliceosomal RNA